GGACGCCAGUCUGCAUGGAGCCGACCUUGAAAUACCACCCUUUAAUGUUUGAUGUUCUAACGUUGACCCGUAAUCCGGGUUGCGGACAGUGUCUGGUGGGUAGUUUGACUGGGGCGGUCUCCUCCUAAAGAGUAACGGAGGAGCACGAAGGUUGGCUAAUCCUGGUCGGACAUCAGGAGGUUAGUGCAAUGGCAUAAGCCAGCUUGACUGCGAGCGUGACGGCGCGAGCAGGUGCGAAAGCAGGUCAUAGUGAUCCGGUGGUUCUGAAUGGAAGGGCCAUCGCUCAACGGAUAAAAGGUACUCCGGGGAUAACAGGCUGAUACCGCCCAAGAGUUCAUAUCGACGGCGGUGUUUGGCACCUCGAUGUCGGCUCAUCACAUCCUGGGGCUGAAGUAGGUCCCAAGGGUAUGGCUGUUCGCCAUUUAAAGUGGUACGCGAGCUGGGUUUAGAACGUCGUGAGACAGUUCGGUCCCUAUCUGCCGUGGGCGCUGGAGAACUGAGGGGGGCUGCUCCUAGUACGAGAGGACCGGAGUGGACGCAUCACUGGUGUUCGGGUUGUCAUGCCAAUGGCACUGCCCGGUAGCUAAAUGCGGAAGAGAUAAGUGCUGAAAGCAUCUAAGCACGAAACUUGCCCCGAGAUGAGUUCUCCCUGACUCCUUGAGAGUCCUGAAGGAACGUUGAAGACGACGACGUUGAUAGGCCGGGUGUGUAAGCGCAGCGAUGCGUUGAGCUAACCGGUACUAAUGAACCGUGAGG
rnacentral:rRNA from 1 species